rnacentral:tRNA from 1 species
GGGCGGAUAGCUCAGUUGGUAGAGCACUAGACUGAAAAUCUAGGUGUCGCCAGUUCGAAUCUGGCUCCGCCCACCA